UACGGGGGGGGCAAGGCGUUGUUCGGAAUUACUGGGCGUAAAGGGCUCGUAGGUGGCCAACUAAGUCAGACGUGAAAUCCCUCAGCUUAACUGGGGAACCUGCGUCUGAUACUGGAUGGCUUGAGUUUGGGAGAGGGACGCGGAAUUCCAGGUGGUAGUGGUGAAAUGCGUAGAUAUCAGGAGGAACACCGAUGGCGAAGGCAGGUCUCUGGGCCGAUACUGACGCUGAGGAGCGAAAGCCAGGGGAGGCAAACGGG
rnacentral:rRNA from 1 species